rnacentral:rRNA from 1 species
UACGUAGGGUGCGAGCGUUAAUCGGAAUUACUGGGCGUAAAGCGUGCGCAGGCGGUUGUGCAAGACAGAUGUGAAAUCCCCGGGCUCAACCUGGGAACUGCAUUUGUGACUGCACGGCUGGAGUGCGGCAGAGGGGGAUGGAAUUCCGCGUGUAGCAGUGAAAUGCGUAGAUAUGCGGAGGAACACCGAUGGCGAAGGCAAUCCCCUGGGCCUGCACUGACGCUCAUGCACGAGAGCGUGGGGAGCAAACAGG